rnacentral:rRNA from 1 species
UACGUAGGUGGCAAGCGUUAUCCGGAUUUAUUGGGCGUAAAGGGAACGCAGGCGGUCUUUUAAGUCUGAUGUGAAAGCCUUCGGCUUAACCGGAGUAGUGCAUUGGAAACUGAGAGACUUGAGUGCAGAAGAGGAGAGUGGAACUCCAUGUGUAGCGGUGAAAUGCGUAGAUAUAUGGAAGAACACCAGUGGCGGAAGCGGCUCUCUGGUCUGUAACUGACGCUGAGGUUCGAAAGCGUGGGUAGCAAACAGG